AAUGGGGUGAUUCGGGUGAGAUCCAAUGUAGAUCGAACUUUCGAUUCGCUCGUGGGAUCCGAGCGGGGGGAGGGGGGGGGGCACCAUGGCUCCUCUCUUCUCGAGAAUUUAUACAUCCCUUAUUAGUGUAUGGACAGCUAUCUCACGAGCACAGGUUUAGGUUCAGCCUUAAUGGGAAAAUAAAAUGGAGCACCUAACAACGCACCUUCACAGAUCAAGAACUUCGAGAUCACCUCUUUCAUUCUGGGAUGACGGAGGGAUUGUACCAUUCAAGCCAUUUUUUUCUUGACUCGCUUUUCCUUCUUGUUGUUGGAUAUCUUGUUCGUGGCUAUAAUCAUCUUUCUGUUACAUCGCCUCCUUACCAUAUCUAUUGUAGUCCCACAAAAGGAGUUUGGAGAUAGUAAGUUUAUACGCAGAUUUUUCUCCUACCUUACAGACAGUAAACUGUUUUUGAUAAAUUCUUGACUUAGGAAAAAAUAGUUUAGAGUAGUCUAGAAAAAGAAGAAACCGAAGUGUAAGCAUAACAAAACUUUCUUAACAGUAACUAUAACAAAAUCAUACAGAAAUCGAAGAACAAGAAGUAAUAGAUAACAACACUAGGAGCACUAGUAUGGGCGAAUAACGAGUCAACGUAUUACUACUUACUAACUUUCUAUCUAAUUCGUGUCCUCCACUUCCAAGUCAAUGUAAUGUCCUCGAUAAGUUGAAACUACGUCAUGUGUUUUCUGAUCACCUCUCCGCAAUAAUUCUUUGGCAUAUAUCUACCUCUUCGGAAAUCAUCCACAGCUUCCGUAUUAAAACAUGCAUCUCCACUUCACAUAUCCAUACCAUUUCAGCCUCACUUCUAUCUUCUAUCGAAAUUACUCUCAUCUUGUCAUUGAGAACAUGAAAUUUAAUAUGAUUAACUUUCUCUAAAAAAAUUGAGAUUUUAAAUGUUACCAUGUAAUAUUGGGAAUAUUAAUGUGGCUAAAGACUUUAAAAGUUGUGAUUUUAAGAUUGAAUACAUUAAUAACCUCUUAAAUUUUUACUCUCAAUUUCUUGAAUUAUACAUUGCAUGUGUGCUUAGCAAAAUGAGACAAUUAACAAAUUGGAAUUUCUUUCAAUUGCUUCAAGGAAUUAUCUUUUUUGAUAGUCCUAAUCAAGUUUAUUAUAUGCUUUUAAUGUAAUUAAGCAAACAAAAGGUAUAAGUAAACCCUACUUUGAGGUUUCACUAUUGAUGCCACACUUACAUAAUCUUCAAUUUAACUCGAAAUUAAAAGGAGCAUAUGAUACGCUAAAACUUUCUAUGCGCGAAAUGCGAGAAGUUUGUUUUCAUGAAUUCAACCAUGACCGUCAAAUUACAUGACAUUAAUUUUACCAGAUACUCCAAGAUUUUCAUUCAACCAUCUUAGGUAAACUACUCUAAAGAAAUUUCACUUCAAAUAUCGAAAUUUCGUAAAAUUUGAAACUUCAUAACAGUAGCUUAGCUCGAUUAUGCUACUCUUAUAAAAAUAUCCAUGCAUCCCAAUUUAGUAAAAAAAAAAAAACCAUAGACCCCUCCACUUGCAAAUUCUCUAAUUCAUAAAUAUACUUCACAACAAAAUAACAAAUCACAAUAAUCUGUCAAUUUAAGUGCUAUACAAAAGUAUAAUUACAAAAAUCUUUAUAAAUUUUAUAUUUUUUUCCAUAAAAACUUACGCUUCUAUGCAAUGUUACUCAAUUCUCCAAGUUGGAAGAGCUACAUAAUCUCCUAAUAUCCUUACACAUGUCACACUUCAAAAUCAUCGAUCACUCACUCACACCAUACUCCUUUUCUACAUCAACUACAUUCAAACAAAUCUCAUCCACCUUCUUGAAAAAUUGUGUGGACCAACAAAAAGAAUAACUAUUCAUUUUAUUUAUGAUUCUUAAAAAGGUGUUGGAAUAGCUACAUGAUCUUUUAACUUUUCUAGACGUGUCACACUCUAAAACUGU
rnacentral:lncRNA from 1 species